rnacentral:rRNA from 1 species
GACGAACGCUGGCGGCGUGCUUAACACAUGCAAGUCGAACGGUGAUCUUGAGAGCUUGCUCUUGGGUGAUCAGUGGCGAACGGGUGAGUAACACGUGAGUAACCUGCCCCUGACUCUGGAAUAACUUCGGGAAACCGAAGCUAAUACCGGAUAUGACACAGAGCCGCAUGGUUUCUGUGUGGAAAGUUUUUCGGUUGGGGAUGGACUCGCGGCCUAUCAGCUUGUUGGUGAGGUAAUGGCUCACCAAGGCGACGACGGGUAGCCGGCCUGAGAGGGCGACCGGCCACACUGGGACUGAGACACGGCCCAGACUCCUACGGGAGGCAGCAGCGGGGAAUAUUGCACAAUGGGCGAAAGCCUGAUGCAGCGACGCCGCGUGAGGGAUGAAGGCCUUCGGGUUGUAAACCUCUUUCAGUAGGGAAGAAGCGCAAGUGACGGUACCUACAGAAGAAGCACCGGCUAACUACGUGCCAGCCGCCGCAGUAAAAC